AAUUUGCCAGCCCAACUCCCUUCUUCCUUCCUCUGUCCUCCAGCUGUCUUUUGAAUUCCAAAUUGUCAACUCAAGGAUAGUUGUAGGCAAGGGAAGGAGGACCUGGGACAGAGAUCAAAGUAGC
rnacentral:precursor_RNA from 12 species